rnacentral:lncRNA from 1 species
CACACUUUGUACUUCCCAUUUUGGAAACAGCUGGGCUACUUGAAUCAGAAAUGGAGCUUGUAAAUAGAUUUCUGACUGGAAGCUCAGAUGCACUGCAGAGUAGGAGCUCCUCGAUCAAACUUUUGCAGUAUUUUCCUGCCUAUAGCGUGGUCUUCUCUCAGUGUCUGGCUCUUCAGAGACAAUGAUCAUGGAUUGUAUUAUCUACAAUUUUCCUUUCUAAGUGGCAGCCUCUGAUAUCUUAUACAUUCUGAGUUUUUGAUUGAAGAGGAAGCUGAAAUAUCAUGCUAGGCUGAAUGAGAUAAAGCUCAGUUUAAUUUAGAAGAACUUCACAUUGUGCGAAGCACUGUGAGAGCUGGAUCAGAUCUUCUCGGACACUUCAGUUAAAUCCCGUGAUCUGCUGGAUUGCACUUGUCCCAUGGAACUGAUGAUUUGAACAGCGCUAGCAGAAGGGUAAAGUUUUCCCUACGGUAUUUCUUUACACAGUUUUGUUAGGGCUGUAAUACUCAUUGCUCUUGUGUAAAGGGAAGGAGGGAAAAGCGUAUAAGGGAGAGGUUAUAGUUCAUUUGUAUUAUGAAGUAAACAAGAAAGGCAUGAUAUUUCAGAUAGAAGGCCGUGUUUUGACCUUGAGAACUUAAAUACCAUCAUCUUACUCUGUACUUUUGAAAACAGUUUCAGCAGAGUUUCAUUUGUUUUGCACUUCUGACCUUAUUUUAAGUGUAAAUAUUUUGCUCAUAAUUUUGAUGACAGAAUUUGUAAAUCUGCAUCUACAAUAUGUUCCCAGUAGGUAAUUGUUCCAUGUCACACCCAGGCAGAGCUGAGAUACAUCCUGGUAAGCAGAGUACGCUCUGAGGAACAAUGUCACACUGCCCCAUAUGUUUCUUCCUCCUAAGGAGGUCACGGCCUUCUAUAGGAAGUUUUAAAAGCCUACCAGAAACUAUAUUUGAGUAGUUUUAAUAAACAAAUGUUGUGUUACA